rnacentral:tRNA from 1 species
AAGGGUAUAGCUCAAGUGGUAGAGCACAUGCUUUAACAUGCAUGAGGUCCUGGGUUCAAUCCCUAGUGCCUCCU